CACGUAGGGGGCAAGCGUUGUCCGGAUUUAUUGGGCGUAAAGAGCUCGUAGGCGGUUCGGUAAGUCGGGUGUGAAACCUCCAGGCUCAACCUGGAGAUGCCACCUGAUACUGCUGUGACUCGAGUCCGGUAGGGGAGCGUGGAAUUCCUGGUGUAGCGGUGAAAUGCGCAGAUAUCAGGAGGAACACCAGCGGCGAAGGCGGCGAUCUGGACGAUGACUGACGCUGAGACGCGAAAGCGUGGGGAGCAAACAGG
rnacentral:rRNA from 1 species